rnacentral:snRNA from 1 species
GGAUGCGAGGUGAUCUGACGGUGGCAUUUGUCACCCCUUGGCCACCAGGUUGAUUUGACUGAUUUGGCUGGGUCAGCAGGUACUCCUUUCCUCUCUCGCCCCCACACGCAUCCCUCCCAAAGCUGCACGCCUGGUGGAAGCGGACAGCCUUAUCGGACAGAAGAGGACGAUUCCAUGGUCCAUGGUGUUUGUGUAGCAGCGUUCCCCUGCUAGAACCUCCAAGCAAGCUCUCCAGUUUGCAUGCAGCUAAUUCCACACCGUGUCUCAACGUUGGUGGUCCUUG